UCCCUGGAGGACUAGUGGUUAGGCCUCGUUGCUCUUGCCGCAGUGGCCCUGGUUCAAUUCCCAGCCAGGGAG